rnacentral:rRNA from 1 species
AACGAACGCUGGCGGCAGGCCUAACACAUGCAAGUCGAACGCCCUAGCAAUAGGGAGUGGCAGACGGGUGAGUAACACGUGGGGACCUUCCCUAUAGUACGGAAUAGCCCAGGGAAACUUGGAGUAAUACCGUAUACGCCCGAGAGGGGAAAGAUUUAUCGCUAUAGGAUGGGCCCGCGUAGGAUUAGCUAGUUGGUGAGGUAAUGGCUCACCAAGGCGACGAUCCUUAGCUGGUUUGAGAGAACGACCAGCCACACUGGGACUGAGACACGGCCCAGACUCCUACGGGAGGCAGCAGUGGGGAAUAUUGGACAAUGGGCGAAAGCCUGAUCCAGCCAUGCCGCGUGAGUGAUGAAGGCCCUUAGGGUUGUAAAGCUCUUUUGGUCGGGACGGAUAAUGACGGUAACCCGCAGAAUAAGUCCCGGCUAACUUCGUGCCAG